GCUUCGGCUUGUUAGAAACAGGCUUACAGGUAGCUUUCCUUCGGAGAUGUGCAAGUUGACGAACCUUUCUGCCAUUGAAUUGGAUCAGAACAAGUUUAGUGGUCCGAUUCCUCCGGCCGUUGGCAACUGUCAGAAGUUGCAGAGGCUUCAUAUUGCAAACAAUUACUUCACUAAUGAGCUGCCUAAGGAAAUAGGUAAUCUGUCUCAACUUGUGACUUUUAACGUCUCUUCUAAUUUGCUCAAAGGACAGAUUCCACCUGGAAUUGUUAACUGCAAGAUGCUUCAACGACUUGAUCUCAGCCACAACAGCUUUGUAGAUGCUUUACCAGAACAGCUUGGAACCCUUCUGCAGUUAGAGCUUCUCAAGCUUUCAGAAAAUAAAUUCUCUGGGAAUAUACCUCCAGCAUUGGGAAAUCUCUCUCACUUGACUGAAUUGCAGAUGGGUGGCAAUUUAUUUUCUGGUGAAAUUCCUCCAGAGUUGGGUUCUCUUUCAAGCUUGCAGAUUGCAAUGAAUCUCAGUAAUAAUAAUCU
rnacentral:misc_RNA from 1 species